UUAGGGUCAGUCACUUUGAAA
rnacentral:siRNA from 1 species